GUGGGGAAUAUUGGACAAUGGGCGCAAGCCUGAUCCAGCAAUGCCGCGUGUGUGAAGAAGGCCUUCGGGUUGUAAAGCACUUUUAUCAGGAGCGAAAUACUAUCGGUUAAUAACCGGUGGGGCUGACGGUACCUGAGGAAUAAGCACCGGCUAACUGCGUGCCCGCAGCCGCGGUAAUACGAAGGGUGCAAGCGUUAAUCGGAAUUACUGGGCGUAAAGGGUGCGUAGGCGGUUAGUUAAGUCUGUUGUGAAAUCCCCGGGCUCAACCUGGGAAUGGCAAUGGAUACUGGCUAGCUAGAGUGUGUCAGAGGAUGGUGGAAUUCCCGGUGUAGCGGUGAAAUGCGUAGAGAUCGGGAGGAACAUCAGUGGCGAAGGCGGCCAUCUGGGACAACACUGACGCUGAAGCACGAAAGCGUGGGGAGCAAAC
rnacentral:rRNA from 1 species